rnacentral:rRNA from 1 species
ACGCACGCUGGCGGCAUGCCUAACACCUGCCAGUCGAACGAUUGCCUUCGGGUGAUAGUGGCGCACGGGUGCGUAACGCGUGGGAAUCUGCCCUUAGGUUCGGAAUAACAGCUGGAAACGGCUGCUAAUACCGGAUGAUAUCGCGAGAUCAAAGAUUUAUCGCCUGAGGAUGAGCCCGCGUUGGAUUAGGUAGUUGGUGGGGUAAAGGCCUACCAAGCCGACGAUCCAUAGCUGGUCUGAGAGGAUGAUCAGCCACACUGGGACUGAGACACGGCCCAGACUCCUACGGGAGGCAGCAGUGGGGAAUAUUGGACAAUGGGCGCAAGCCUGAUCCAGCAAUGCCGCGUGAGUGAUGAAGGCCCUAGGGUUGUAAAGCUCUUUUACCCGGGAAGAUAAUGACUGUACCGGGAGAAUAAGCCCCGGCUAACUCCGUG